CUCUCUAUAUGUUUAUGGUUGAGUUAUGGGCAUUCCAGCACCAUCCAUUGCUGUGCAUUCCCAAACUUGAUCGCUACCUAAGGACAUAUGCUCCCUGCAAUGUAUUCCCAAACCCCUAUCCCUCUAUAUUCUACACUCAUGUUUAAUUCUCUAUUCCUGCACCCCCACCUUAUUUUUAGACUUAGGUUCUACCCCUUUUAUGUGAGCCUUGACUUGCGACCCAUGAGCUCCCUCUAAACUUGGACACAUAAUGGCUGGCCCUUCUACACUGCACUUAUCUCUAUCUGGUUCUGCAAACUUGGGUAUAAGCACUGCCCCGUGCCCUUUGAGACCCUUAGGGAACUUUGACAUACCCAGGUCUCAGAAAGGCUUUGAACAAAUAGAAUUUGAGGUGGCU
rnacentral:lncRNA from 1 species